rnacentral:rRNA from 1 species
UACGUAGGGUGCGAGCGUUGUCCGGAAUUAUUGGGCGUAAAGAGCUUGUAGGCGGUUUGCCGCGUCUGCCGUGAAAGCCCAGGGCUUAACCCUGGGUCUGCGGUGGGUACGGGCAGACUAGAGUGUGGUAGGGGAGACUGGAAUUCCUGGUGUAGCGGUGAAAUGCGCAGAUAUCAGGAGGAACACCAAUGGCGAAGGCAGCUCGCUGGGACGGUACUGACGCUGAGACGCGAAAGCGUGGGGAGCAAACAGG